ACAUGAGCUCAUGUGUAGGUUUAGAGGCAAAAUCCUGUUUGCUGAGGAUUAAUAUAAUAAUGGUGCUCUUUUGUUUUAGUGUCUUGUAGCUGAGCUGUCUCUGGAGAGAGUGAAAAUAAUUUAGGCAAAAGAAUGAAAAAGGCUGGAUGGAUUCCUUGGCCAUGAAGCUGGGCAAGGCUGAUAUAGGAUGCUGCUGCCUAUUGUAUCUUCAGGCUGCAGCAACAGGCUGAGGGUGAAGAAUCUUUUGCUUCUGGAGAACUGCGUACCCAAGCAGAGAAGGAGGAGAAAUUGAGAGUGGUGGGUGUCUUGCAGUAAAUUGUCCAUCCCCAGAUUAUCAGGGUGCUCUUUCCAUUUUGUUCUAAAUUUCCCUCCUCCGUGCAGCUUCCUGCUGAGUUCCUCUAACAACAUCAGUCAUGGCAUUUACUUACUUGGGAUUCUCUGAUUUUGUGGAUAACCCUGAGGAUCUUC